rnacentral:tRNA from 2 species
GGCCCUUUAGCUCAGCUGGAUAGAGCACUUGCCUUCUAAGCAAGUUGUCGACAGUUCGAUUCUGCCAAGGGUCA